rnacentral:rRNA from 1 species
GCCGGUGACCAUAGCAACAGUGCCCGACCCGAUCCCAUCCCGAACUCGGAAGUCAAACCUGUUAGCGCCGAUGGUACUGCAGCGAACGCUGUGGGAGAGUAGGACGUUGCCGGCU